rnacentral:rRNA from 1 species
AUUGAACGCUGGCGGCAGGCCUAACACAUGCAAGUCGAGCGGAAACGAUCCUAGCUUGCUAGGAGGCGUCGAGCGGCGGACGGGUGAGUAACGCGUGAGAAUCUACCCAUGAGUGGGGGACAACCCGGGGAAACUCGGGCUAAUACCGCAUACGCCCUACGGGGUAAAGCAGGGGACCUUCGGGCCUUGCGCUGAUGGAUGAGCUCGCGUCGGAUUAGCUUGUUGGUGAGGUAAAGGCUCACCAAGGCGACGAUCCGUAGCUGGUCUGAGAGGAUGAUCAGCCACACCGGGACUGAGACACGGCCCGGACUCCUACGGGAGGCAGCAGUGGGGAAUCUUGGACAAUGGGGGCAACCCUGAUCCAGCCAUGCCGCGUGUGUGAAGAAGGCCUUCGGGUUGUAAAGCACUUUCAGCAGGGAGGAAGGCUUACCCCUAAUACGGGUGAGUACUUGACGUUACCUGCAGAAGAAGCACCGGCUAAUUU